ACGGCCGCGGUAUCCUAACCGUGCGAAGGUAGCGUAAUCACUUGUCUUUUAAAUGGGGACUUGUAUGAAUGGCAUCACGAGGGUUAUACUGUCUCCUUUUUCUAAUCAGUGAAACUAACCUUCCCGUGAAGAAGCGGGAAUAAACAUAUAAGACGAGAAGACCCUAUGGAGCUUUAAACUCAAUAACAAAUACUAGCCUUGCCUCAACCUUCAGAGUAUUAACCUUAAUUUUAGUAUAAUGAUUAUUAGUUUUAGGUUGGGGUGACCGCGGAGUAAAAAUUAACCUCCACAUUGAACGGGACCUAUCCCUGAGCCAAGAACUAC
rnacentral:rRNA from 1 species